UGGGCUGAUCCUGAUUUUCAAGACACGUUU
rnacentral:piRNA from 1 species